rnacentral:rRNA from 1 species
GUGCAGCAGGCGCGAAAACUCCGCAAUGCCCGAAAGGGUGACGGGGGGAUUCCAAGUGCCUACGCUUAGCGUAGGCUGUUCAGGUGCCUAAAAAAGCACCUGGAGGAAGGGCUGGGUAAGACGGGUGCCAUCUGUGGCAGCAGCCAAGAUUUGGCUUGCUACUGCAAGGCAUAAGCCGCCGCGGUAAUACCCGCAGCCCGAGUGGUAGUCGCUUUUAUUGGGCCUAAAGCGUCCGUAGCCGGUCUGGUAAAUGCCUGGGUAAAUCGUGGGGCUUAACCUCACGAAUUCCGGGUAGACUGCCAGACUUGGGACCGGUUGAGGGAGAGGGUACUCCGAGGGGUAGGGGUGAAAUCAGCAAGGUAAGCUGAUGUAACUUGCCUUGCAAGUCACAAUCCU